ensembl:lncRNA
GCCACAGCUAUUAUAUUUUUAUAGCAGGCCAAUAUUUUCAGAUUUGGAGCUUAGUCAUCCCUUUAAAGAUCAAUCUGCUGGCAAGAAAAUCCUUUACCUUAUAGCUACAAGCAUGAGGCAGAGGAGAGACAAGCUUUGGUGAAGUUUGGUGAGAGAAAGAAUCAGAGAUUGGAUCUUAUGACCAAUUCUUCUGGAAUGCACAUGUGGAAAAUAUCCAAAUAUUCUUGAGGGGCAGUCUUCACUUGUUCCCUCAGCCUGCAAGAAAUGCACAUUAAUAGCGGCUUCUUCCCUGAGGAAGGUUUUGAACUGGAGUACUUGAGAAGAAACUUACAACAGAGCAGCCUAAAGUGCCACCCAGUCCCUUUUAAUUAGCACAUGUAAGUCCCCCAACAUGCAAGAUAUGAUUGAGACUUUCUGCCAUUUCAUUUUAAUAUCAGUGUUAUAUGCUAACGUUUGUCAGACUAAGCUAAAAAACCACUUCUUUUUAUGUUGUUUCCCACAUGCAGAGCAGACCUCUUACAUUUUUGUUGGCUGCUAACGUACUAAGCGUUUUUUGGCAGCAUGCGGUUCUGGAUUGAAGCCAUGCAUGCAAGUCUUCCACAUUGUGCUCUUUUCCCAGCAUGUUCCCCAGGACAUUGGAAGAAGAGAAAAGCUGAAUCAGUUUGGAAAAACAUAAAUAUUUCUGAACGUGUGGACAGUUCUCACUUCUCAUGUGUGGGAGGAAUAUUUCACUGCCCUCCUACCCAUCACUCAAAUGUCCCGAUCAAGUUAUUGAAAUAAAUUAUCUUAAAGAAUAAUUAUCUGACAAGAAUUCUUUUCCUGUCUCAAAAAGCACAUCUACUACCCUAUAAGCUUUUUUACCUACAUAGCUUACACACAGGCUGAUUUCAAUAAAUAAACUGGAUGAUGCCUAAAUCCUCUG